rnacentral:rRNA from 1 species
GAUGAACGCUAGCGACAGGCUUAACACAUGCAAGUCGAGGGGCAGCGGGGGUAGCAAUACCCGCCGGCGACCGGCGCACGGGUGAGUAACGCGUAUGCAACUUACCUAUCAGAGGGGGAUAACCCGGCGAAAGUCGGACUAAUACCGCAUGAAGCAGGGAUCCCGCAUGGGAAUAUUUGCUAAAGAUUCAUCGCUGAUAGAUAGGCAUGCGUUCCAUCAGGCAGUUGGCGGGGUAACGCCCACAAACCGACGAUGGACUAGGGGGUUCUGAGAGGAAGGUCCCCCCAGAUUGGGUACUGGAGACCACGGGACCAAAC